rnacentral:ncRNA from 2 species
CCGAAGUGUCACAGGAUGAAUCUAUGCUAUUUGGAGAGGGAGUAUACAUUUAACUUGAAGCAAUCCCUGGAAGAAAAAUUCUACUAGCAGAGAUGCUCUGAGCAGAGAGAAAGCCUGUCUAUAUAGUGAAAGAAUGAAACCAAUACAUUGAAAAAAACUGAGAAGAGAAAGAGGUAGAGACUUCAUCUGAUACAAGCAUGCUUGAAACAAGAGACACCUGUAUGAUUCCAUCUUCCCAGGAGCUAGCAGGCAGUUCUUGUUGAGUUCAAGCCAGUUGAGACCAUCAACCCUUCAACUGAGCCUGCAUGGCCCUGUUUUCAGGGAGGUGGAUUUGCGAUUUGUUCUCCUUCUCCUUGCUCAGCAGCCUGGUAAGCAAUCUCACAAAAUAAAAUCUUUUCUUUUUUGCAAA